rnacentral:rRNA from 1 species
AUUGAACGCUGGCGGCAUGCUUUACACAUGCAAGUCGGACGGCAGCACAGAGGCGCUUGCUUCUUGGGUGGCGAGUGGCGAACGGGUGAGUAACGCAUCGGAACGUACCGAGUAAUGGGGGAUAACUGUCCGAAAGGACAGCUAAUACCGCAUACGCCCUGAGGGGGAAAGCGGGGGAUCUUAGGACCUCGCGUUAUUCGAGCGGCCGAUGUCUGAUUAGCUGGUUGGCGGGGUAAAGGCCCACCAAGGCGACGAUCAGUAGCGGGUCUGAGAGGAUGAUCCGCCACACUGGGACUGAGACACGGCCCAGACUCCUACGGGAGGCAGCAGUGGGGAAUUUUGGACAAUGGGCGCAAGCCUGAUCCAGCCAUGCCGCGUGUCUGAAGAAGGCCUUCGGGUUGUAAAGGACUUUUGUCAGGGAAGAAAAGGGGCAUGUUAAUACCGUGCUCUGAUGACGGUACCUGAAGAAUAAGCACCGGCUAACUACGUG